rnacentral:misc_RNA from 1 species
ACACAAAGUCUAGGUGACAAUAAAACACUAUUUGUUGAUUACAAUAUAGCUACAGUUCUAUGGUGCAGUAAAGAAAACAUAGCGUCGUAAGACUACCUACAAAGUAAAGGAACUUUGUAGUUAUUUAUAAAGGUAAAAGACAACAAUAAAAAUUCAAGAUGAGGAUAGCUAUAGAAGGUUGCGCGCAUGGUCAAUUAGACAUUAUCUAUGAAACCAUUCAAGAAAUGGAAAAAUCUGAUGGCAAAAAAAUAGAUUUACUUAUUUGCUGUGGAGAUUUUCAGUCUACAAGAAAUUUAACAGAUUUAAAUUGUAUGGCUAUACCUGAUAAAUAUAAAGAUAUGUGUACUUUUUACAAAUAUUAUUCUGGUGAAAAAGUUGCUCCUGUGUUAACAUUGUUUAUUGGGGGAAAUCAUGAAGCAUCAAAUUAUCUUCAAGAAUUGCCAUAUGGUGGAUGGGUAGCUCCUAAUAUUUAUUAUUUCGGCUAUGCUGGUGUAAUAACAAUAGCUGGUAUUAGAAUCGCAGGACUAUCAGGCAUCUAUAAAAACAAACAUUGGAUGCAAGGGCAUUAUGAAAAGCCUCCAUAUACUGAAAGUACAAUUAGAAGUGUAUAUCAUAUCAGAAAUUUAGAAAUAUUUAGAUUAAAGCAGCUUACCGGUAACAUCGAUAUAUUCUUGUCACAUGAUUGGCCAGCAGGAAUAACUAAAUAUGGAGAUGUAAAUAUUUUAUUAAAAGGGAAACCUUUUUUCAAAAAUGAUAUAGAGAAUAAUAUGCUUGGUAGUCCACCAACUAUGGAACUCUUAGAACAUCAUUAUCCGAGCUAUUGGUUUUCUGCACAUUUACACUGUAAAUUUGCAGCUCUUGUUCCUGAAAAAGGAGGAACAAGAGUAACUAAAUUUUUAGCUUUAGAUAAAUGUCUCCCAAAAAGAAAAUUUCUUCAAAUACUUGAAUUAGAGCACAAUCCAAAUUUACCAUUAAAACUGCAUUAUGAUUUAGAGUGGUUGACAAUAUUAUAUUUGACAAAUCAUUUAUUAAGUGUGAAAAGUGGAAUUCAUUAUAUGCCUGGACAAUAUGGUAAUACUAGAUGGGUGUUUACACCAACUGUAGAAGAAAAAACAAAAGUUCUAAACAAAUUUAAUCAUAGUUUACAAAUUCCAUUGAAUUUUACACAAACUGCAAAAUCUUACAACCCUGAUACUUUAGAUAGUUCUUUUGAACCACCACAAAUGUUUAUAAAUAAUCAAACUACCCAGUUCUGUAGUAUGUUGGGUAUUGAUGAUCCAUCUGUUUUAUUACACUUGAUGAAUAAUACAAAAGAAUAUAAAUCAAAUGAAUUGUUAAUGGAAACGUCAUGUGAACAAAUAUCAAGUUCCAAUGAAAUUUCUAUUUCUUUUGAGGAAGAUAAUGGUUUAAGUUCAACAUUUAAUGGAACUUUAAGCGAUGAUUCAUUUAAUCAAACUUCACCCUUAAAUUUAUCUCCAAAAAGUAAUAAUGAAGAACAAGAUUUAGAAAUAUGCAGUAUUAAAGAAGCAGAUGGGAGUUUAAAUAAUUUGACAUCUAUAGUUAAUUCUAAUUGUACAAGUGAUAGUAAUAAUCGUACUAUACAAAUUGAACCAAAUUAUAAGAAAUUUAAACGUCGAAAUUAUUCGAUAUAUUCCAACACGCUUUAAUUAUAAUGAAAUAUUUCGUUCAGUAUUUGAACUUGAAAUAUUUGUUCUAAUUAAAUGAAUGUUGUAUAUAAAAAAAAAAACUUUGAUAAGUCGUGUAUAUAAUGAAAAGAUUUAUCUUUUUGUAAAAUAUUUUUUUAUUAGUAUUAAAAAAAUACUAUAAAUAUUAUUGUGUACUUCUGAUUAUUUUCUUUUCAACUAAUAAAGACUCUAUAGCUCGAAGUUGAGGUUAGGAAAUUGUACAUGUUCCACUAACGAGUGACAUCGAGUUCUAAGCGAUCAAGAAAUAAACAAAAAAAGAACAAAUGUAUACAUAAU